rnacentral:rRNA from 1 species
GACGUAGGGCGCGAGCGUUGUCCGGAUUUAUUGGGCGUAAAGAGCUCGUAGGCGGCUUGUUGCGUCGACUGUGAAAACCUGCGGCUCAACCGUGUGGUCUGCAGUCGAUACGGGCAGGCUGGAGUUCGGUAGGGGAGACUGGAAUUCCUGGUGUAGCGGUGAAAUGCGCAGAUAUCAGGAGGAACACCAACGGGCGAAGGCAGCUCGCUGGGGACGGUACUGACG